GUAAGCCUAGGAUGUGCGUUGUCAUAUAAAAUUCAACCACUGAAUUUAUAUUGGAAUUUCGGGUUUUAACAUUGAAGACAUGCCUUGUAUGAGGACAUCCGAUAUGCUAAACAGAUCAUCCACCUGUGAGGUGUGGUGUGAAAUUUUUCUGGUGACGGCAUUCCGGGUAAACU
rnacentral:other from 1 species